GUCGGCAGUCGGCAGUCAGUUCAGUUCAGUUGUUAUCGGAACUUGCUGCCGCUGUCAUGUCCGAGACGUCGACGCGCACGCGGAAAUAGUUACAUAUACACAAGAGAUUGCAAUAAAUAAAUGAGAAAA